UACGGAGGGUGCAAGCGUUAUCCGGAUUCACUGGGUUUAAAGGGUGCGUAGGUGGGCAGGUAAGUCAGUGGUGAAAUCUCCGGGCUUAACUCGGAAACUGCCAUUGAUACUAUCUGUCUUGAAUACCGUGGAGGUUAGCGGAAUAUGUCAUGUAGCGGUGAAAUGCUUAGAUAUGACAUAGAACACCAAUUGCGAAGGCAGCUGGCUACACGAAUAUUGACACUGAUGCACGAAAGCGGG
rnacentral:rRNA from 1 species